rnacentral:rRNA from 1 species
UAUCGCGUAGGGAUUUAUCGUUGGGUGGGGGAUAACCGCGGGAAACUGCGGCUAAUACCGCAUGACGCCUGUGGGCCAAAGGUCGAGAGACUGCCUGAUGAGGAGCCUGCGUCCGAUUAGCUAGUAGGUUGGGUAAUGGCUGACCUAGGCUAUGAUCGGUAGCUGGUCUGAGAGGAUGAUCAGCCACACUGGGACUGAGACACGGCCCAG